rnacentral:rRNA from 1 species
AAUAGAUACCCGGGUAGUCCACGCCGUAAACUAUGAUUACUCGAUGUCGGCGAUAUACUGUCGGUGUCCAAGCGAAAGUGAUAAGUAAUCCACCUGGGGAGUACGAUCGCAAGGUUGAAACUCAAAGGAAUUGACGGGGGCCCGCACAAGCGGUGGAGCAUGUGGUUUAAUUCGAUGAUACGCGAGGAACCUUACCUGGGCUUGAAUGCAUUAUGACCGUCCCGGAAACGGGACUUUCUUCGGACAGAAUGCAAGGUGCUGCAUGGUUGUCGUCAGCUCGUGCUGUGAGGUGUCGGGUUAAGUCCCAUAACGAGCGCAACCCCUAUUCUUAGUUGCCAGCGGGUAAUGCCGGGGACUCUAAGAAAACUGCCCGCGUAAGCGGUGAGGAAGGUGGGGAUGACGUCAAAUCAUCACGGCCCUUACGUCCAGGGGCUACACACGUGCUACAAUGGUCAGUACAAAAGGGCAGCUACCUGGUGACAGGAUGCUAAUCUCGAAAAACUGAAUCUCAGUUCGGAUCGAAGUCUGCAACUCGUA